rnacentral:rRNA from 1 species
GAUCACCUGGCUCAGGAUGAACGCUAGCUACAGGCUUAACACAUGCAAGUCGAGGGGCAGCAUGGUCUUAGCUUGCUAAGGCCGAUGGCGACCGGCGCACGGGUGAGUAACACGUAUCCAACCUGCCGUCUACUCUUGGACAGCCUUCUGAAAGGAAGAUUAAUACAAGAUGGCAUCAUGAGUCCACAUGUUCACAUGAUUAAAGGUAUUCCGGUAGACGAUGGGGA